UCCCCAGUGGCUCAGAUGGUAAAGAAUCUGCCUGCAAUUCAGGAGACCCAGGUUCAAUUCCUGGGUGGGGAA
rnacentral:tRNA from 1 species